rnacentral:lncRNA from 1 species
AACAUGCUUUGAACAUUGUCUGAAUAUUGAGCAACAACAAGCAUUGUCUCAAUAUUGAAUUUUCAUUGUCAAAACUUUGAACUUACAUUGUCAUAGCUUUCAAAUUACAUUGUCAGAGUAUUAAAAAUUUGCACAUUUAAGCUCUGUGCUUAUAAACAUUGAACUUAUAAAACAUUGCAAAUUGAAAAUUGACAGCACAUUGAACUUAUAAAAUAUUGAAU